AAGCACAGUUCGAGCUUGAAUUGCGUUUCGUAGGUUACGUCUACGUUAAAACGUUACAGUUAAAUAUAACUGCUAAAAACGAAAACAACUCUUACGCUUUAGCUGCCUAAAAACAGUUAGCGUAGAUCCUCUCGGCAUCGCCCAUGUGCUCGAGUAAGGGUCUCAAAUUUAGUGGGAUACGUUAAACUUUUCCGUCUGUAAAGUUUAAAAGAGAUCAUCAGACUAGCGAUACAGAAUGCCUGUCACUCGGCAAGCUGUAAAGCGAAACCUCAAAUGAGUUGACUAUGAACGUAGAUUUUUAAGUGUCGAUGUGUUU
rnacentral:tmRNA from 2 species